UACGGAAGGUGCAAGCGUUAGUCGGAGUUAUUGGGCGUAAAGGGUGCGUAGGCGGCGUUUUAAGUUGGAUAUGAAAUUUUGGGGCUCAACCUCAAAGCUAUAUCCAAAACUGGAAUGCUAGAGGGAUGGCGGAGAAAACGGAAUUCCAUGUGUAGCGGUGAAAUGCGUAGAUAUAUGGAAGAACACCUGUGGCGAAAGCGGUUUUCUAGCCUCCUCCUGACGCUAAGGCACGAAAGCAAGGGGAGCAAAC
rnacentral:rRNA from 1 species